rnacentral:misc_RNA from 1 species
GAUGAAGAACGUAGUGAAAUGCGAUAAGUAAUGUGAAUUGCAGAAUUCAGUGAAUCAUCGAAUCUUUGAACGCACAUUGCGCCCGCCAGUAUCCUGGCGGGCAUGCCUGUUCGAGCGUCAUUACAACCCUCAGGCCCCCGGGCCUGGCGUUGGGGAUCGGCGGAAGCCCCCUGUGGGCACACGCCGUCCCUCAAAUACAGUGGCGGUCCCGCCGCAGCUUCCAUUGCGUAGUAGCUAACACCUCGCAACUGGAGAGCGGCGCGGCCAUGCCGUAAAACACCCAACUUCUGAAUGUUGACCUCGAAUCAGGUAGGAAUACCCGCUGAACUUAAGCAUAUCAAUAAGCGGAGGA